GGGGGGACCAUCCUCCAAGGCUAAAUACUCGUGAUCGACCGAUAGUGAACCAGUACUGUGAAGGAAAGGCGAAAAGAACCCCGGGAGGGGAGUGAAAUAGAACCUGAAACCGCAUACAUACAAACAGUAGGAGCUCCAUUUGUGGAGUGACUGCGUACCUUUUGCAUAAUGGGUCAGCGACUUACAUUCUGUGGCGAGCUUAACCGAAUAGGGGAGGCGCAGCGAAAGCGAGUUCGAAAUGAGCGUUCAGUCGCAGGGUGUAGACCCGAAACCAGAUGAGCUAUCCAUGGCCAGGUUGAAGGUGUGGUAACACACACUGGAGGACCGAACCGACUAGUGUUGCAAAAUUAGCGGAUGAGCUGUGGAUAGGGGUGAAAGGCCAAACAAAUCUGGAGAUAGCUGGUUCUCCCCGAAAACUAUUGAGGUAGUGCCUCGUGUGUCGCUCCAGGGGGUAGAGCACUGUUUUGGCUAGGGGGACAUGGAGUCUUACCAAACCAAGGCAAACUCCGAAUACCUGGAAGCGUGAGCACGGGAGACAGAGCACCGGGUGCUAACGUCCGGACUCAAAAGGGAAACAACCCAGACCGCCGGCUAAGGUCCCAAAUAACAGCUAAGUGGAAAACGAAGUGGAAAGGCCGUGACAACCAGGAAGUUGGCUUAGAAGCAGCCAUCCUUCAAAGAAAGCGUAAUAGCUCACUGGUCGAGUCCUUCUGCGCGGAAGAUGUAACGGGGCUAAGCUGUUAACCGAAGCCGCGGAUGCACUGGUUAUCCAGUGCGUGGUAGGGGAGCGUUCUGUAAGUCUGCGAAGGCGGUUCGAGAGGACUGCUGGAGAUAUCAGAAGUGCGAAUGCUGACAUGAGUAACGUUAAAGCAGGUGAAAAGCCUGCUCGCCGUAAGCCCAAGGAUUCCUGCUCUACGUUCAUCGGAGCAGGGUGAGUCGGCUCCUAAGGUCAGGCCGAAAGGCGUAGCCGAUGGGAAUCAGGUUAAUAUUCCUGAACCUGCGUCAGAUGCGAUGGGGGGACGGAGCAUGGAAGAUCAUCCGGGUGUUGGAAGUCCCGGUUGUUUAGCGUAGGAGGUCUGCAGGCAAAUCCGCAGACGCAUCUCCAAGGCAAAGACACGUGCCGCCACGGCGGCGAAGUGAUCGGAAGUGCUUCCAAGAAAAGCCUCUAAGCCCCAGUCUGACGCGGACCGUACCGCAAACCGACACUGGUGGGCGAGCUGAAUAUGCUCAGGCGCUUGAGAGAACUCGGGAGAAGGAACUCGGCAAAUUGACCCCGUAACUUCGGAAGAAGGUGUGCCGUAGUACCGUGAGAGGAGAGACACCUUGAGCGGGAAACGGUCUCAGAGAAUAGGUGGCUGCGACUGUUUAUUAAAAACACAGCACUCUGCAAAGUCGAAAGACGACGUAUAGGGUGUGAUGCCUGCCCGGUGCUGGAAGAUUAAUUGAUGGGGUGAGAGCCCUUGAUCGAAGUCCCAGUAAACGGCGGCCGUAACUAUAACGGUCCUAAGGUAGCGAAAUUCCUUGUCGGGUAAGUUCCGACCUGCACGAAUGGCAUAACGAUGGCCACACUGUCUCCUCCCGAGACUCAGUGAAGUUGAAAUGUUUGUGAUGAUGCAAUCUACCCGCGGCUAGACGGAAAGACCCCAUGAACCUUUACUGCAGCUUUGCAUUGAACUGUGAACCGAUUUGUGUAGGAUAGGUGGGAGGCAGAGAAGAGGCCACGCCAGUGGCCUUGGAGCCGACCUUGAAAUACCACCCUGAUUUGUUUGCGGUUCUAACCACGGACAGUGAUCCUGUCUUGGGACCGUGCAUGGUAGGCAGUUUGACUGGGGCGGUCUCCUCCUAAAGGGUAACGGAGGAGUACGAAGGUACGCUAGGUACGGUCGGAAAUCGUGCUGAUAGUGCAAUGGCAAAAGCGUGCUUGACUGCGAGAGCAACAACUCGAGCAGAUGCGAAAGCAGGUCAUAGUGAUCCGGUGGCUCUGAAUGGAAGGGCCAUCGCUCAACGGAUAAAAGGUACUCUGGGGAUAACAGGCUGAUACCGCCCAAGAGUUCAUAUCGACGGCGGUGUUUGGCACCUCGAUGUCGGCUCAUC
rnacentral:rRNA from 1 species